AACGAACGCUGGCGGCAUGCCUAAUACAUGCAAGUCGAACGAGAUCUUCGGAUCUAGUGGCGCACGGGUGCGUAACGCGUGGGAAUCUACCCUUGGGUUCGGAAUAACUUCGGGAAACUGAAGCUAAUACCGGAUGAUGACGUAAGUCCAAAGAUUUAUCGCCCAGGGAUGAGCCCGCGUAGGAUUAGCUAGUUGGUGGGGUAAAGGCCUACCAAGGCGACGAUCCUUAGCUGGUCUGAGAGGAUGAUCAGCCACACUGGGACUGAGACACGGCCCAGACUCCUACGGGAGGCAGCAGUAGGGAAUAUUGGACGAUGGGCGCAAGCCUGAUCCAGCAAUGCCGCGUGAGUGAUGAAGGCCUUAGGGUUGUAAAGCUCUUUUACCCGAGAUGAUAAUGACAGUAUCGGGAGAAUAAGCCCCGGCUAACUCCGUGCCAGCAGCCGCUGUAAGAC
rnacentral:rRNA from 1 species